CCUCGAGGAAGCUUGGAUCGAACGUAGCGUGAGAAAUGUGUCGUCGAAGAUAAAGAGGAAAGAAUACACAACUGAGAACUGACACGAUGAAUUUUUAUUUUUAUACUGAAUGAGUGCUAUAAUCUGAGACACGUUCCUUUGGAGACUUUAUGGAUUUACAUAAGUUCAUAUGGAUAUAUCCAACUGCCUGGGUUGCGUUGAAGCGAUGGAGGAGUUUUGUUUUAAGAUUUGAGGAGAAUUUUGAGAAAGGGAACUAUAUGUCUAGUGUAUAUGUAUGUCGAGUAUAUUUCCUAGCGAAGCAGUUGAAUUAUCGUGAAACUUUAAUUCAUACAUUGCAAAUAUAACAAGCAUUUCUUUGAAUAUAUUAUAAUUAUUGUAGAUUUUUAUGUACACCUAUAUUUUUACGAAUACAAGUAAAGAAAUAGAAU
rnacentral:misc_RNA from 1 species